AUUAAACGCUGGCGGCAGGCUUAACACAUGCAAGUCGAGCGGAGAGAGGUAGCUUGCUACUGAUCUUAGCGGCGGACGGGUGAGUAAUGCUUAGGAAUCUGCCUAUUAGUGGGGGACAACAUUUCGAAAGGAAUGCUAAUACCGCAUACGUCCUACGGGAGAAAGCAGGGGAUCCUCGGACCUUGCGCUAAUAGAUGAGCCUAAGUCGGAUUAGCUAGUUGGUGGGGUAAAGGCCUACCAAGGCGACGAUCUGUACCGGGUCUGGGAGGAUGAUCCGCCACACUGGGACUGAGACACGGCCCAGACUCCUACGGGAGGCAGCAGUGGGGAAUAUUGGACAAUGGGGGGAACCCUGAUCCAGCCAUGCCGCGUGUGUGAAGAAGGCCUUAUGGUUGUAAAGCACUUUAAGCGAGGAGGAGGCUACUUUAGUUAAUACCUAGAGAUAGUGGACGUUACUCGCAGAAUAAGCACCGGCUAACUCUGUGCCAGCAGCCGCAGUAAAAC
rnacentral:rRNA from 1 species